rnacentral:lncRNA from 1 species
CGGGGAGCGCCAGUCAAAGCAGAAGAGCAGGUUGGCCAGCAGCAGCUCGACCACGGAGGUGGCGAAGUGCACGCCGGGGCAGCUCCUCCGGCCGACCCCGAACGGCACCAGCGAGAAGCUGUCGUGCCACGGCUUGUGGUCGCUGAGGUCCGCGAUCUCCUCGUGCCGCUCCGGCACGAACCGCGCCGCGUCCGGCCCCCACGCGUCGGGGUCCUGCCCGAUGGCCUUGGCGUUCACCAACACCCGCGUCCUGGCCGGUAUCUCGCAGCCGUACACCGUGCAGGGCUCGAUGGUCUCCCGGGGCACCAGCAGCGGCACCGGCGGGUGCACCCGCAUCGACUCCCUGAUGACUUGCUUCAGGUACUUGAGCCGCGGGAGGUCAGAUUCCUGGACUAUGUCUUUGCCAACCACGGCGCCGCGCACCUCCUUCUGCGCCUUGGCGAGGAUGUCCGGGUGCCUUACUAGCUCUGUCAUCGUCCACUCCACCGUCGCCGCCGCUGUGUCAGUCCCGGCGAUGAACAUGUCCUGAAACAGGCAAACGAAUAAAAUAGUGUUCCCGUUGUUCAGAAAUUAAACGUCGUCUCGAUCAAGAAACUUGUGGAAUGCAACAUGCAACAAGCUAGCGCGUUGUGAGGCGUACCGUAAGGAUGCCUUUGAUCUGGUCGCGGUUGUUGAACGUGCUCAGGUAAGCCGGAUCACCGUGCAGGCGAAGGAGCACGUCCACCAAGUCCUCACCUUUGGAGGCAUCGGCACCGCGCUUGCUGAGGUGGUCGUCGAUGACCUUCUCGUAGAACGCGUCGAGCUCAUGGAAGUUCCGCUCCAGCCGCCUCCGUAGGCCCCGGAGCGCGUCCAGCCACCCCAGCCAUGGCAUGUAGUCGGCGACGAAGAAACCGCCUAGAAGCUUCUGUGUCUCGUCGAGGACAGUGCCGGCCUGGAUGCUCUCUUGGCCGCCGCCGUCGCCGAACGCGACACGCCGCAGGAUCUUGUUGCUCGUGGCCAUAAGCUCCUCGCUCAAGUUCACGGGAGAGCCGCUUCUGGACAUGUCGGUUAUGGCAGCGACGAGCGCGGCGGCCUCGCCCUCCCGGACGUCGCGGAAACUGCGCACGCGCGGGGCGCUCAGGAGCUCCGACAGGGACGCGCGGCGCGCGGCGCGCCAGAACCCGCCGUCCGGGGGAGAGAAGACGAUGUCCUGCAGGCCGUAGGUGAUCCGGGUGGCGGCGUACAGCGCCGGGCGGCCGGACAUCGCCCGGUCGUUGGGCUGGAACACGGCGCGCAGCGCGUCGGCGGUGGAGACGACGAGCGUGGGCACCGAGCCCAGCCGGAGCAGCAUGAGCGGCGCCGCGUGCUUGGCGGCGAGCGCGGCGAGGGAGUCAUGCGGGGCCGUGCCCAGCUGGUGGAGGUUGCCGAUGAGCGGGAGGCCUCUUGGACAUGGGAGAGACGGCGAGCUGGCGCGUCUCUUGAACGCUGCAAGCAACAGUUGCUUCAAGUAGAGAACGGUAAUGGUGGUAACGAUGACGAGGAAGACGCAUGAAAACAGCCCAUCAUGAGCUUGGAGAGUCUCCAUGGACACCUGCUGAGUGCUGACUGCUGUUGUGUGGAUGAGCAGAGCAUGGUAGUAACAGUAUAUUUAUAGACUAUAUGGAGACUUUGCCAGCGAGAGCUGUUUUUGUCAAAGCUUUUGACUACUAGUACGUGUUAUCCUUAGCCGCCGACUGCCGUCGAGAAUGCUGUUUUGUCCAGCAUGCCAUGAAGGGUCCAAAGUCCAGAAAGCUAGUAGGAGUUGGUCCAAAGAAAGCCUGUGAUUUUUGCGUCUAUCUAUCUAAUGGUUAUUUGAAGAACUAAAACAUAUAUCAAACUGCAAGGUGAGGAACAAAAACAGGAAAGAGACUCAGGUGCAGUCUUGUGGCAACCUCUCAGUCUUGUGGCAAGGUGAACAAUGAUAUCAUUUUCAAUGUAUGGUUUUAUCUAAACCCAUUUUGGGUAGGAACGAUUAGUUCACUGCACUAGCAGACAACAACAUAUCAUUUUUAAUUUAGCAUCUAUAAGACAUAAUAAUAUUGAAAUUUUUAUAUGCAAAAAAAAAAAUCACCAACAUAGAGGUAAACUGGGCAUGAGCACCCCCUCUACUUGAUGAGUUCCCUCUUAUGCACAUAAAAUUUUGUUGUGUAAUUCAAUAGCAAAUUUGGAUUUUAGCUCCUAAAAAUUUAUAUUUUAUCACUUUGUCAUUUUUAUAUAUAAUUUCUGGCUCUGUCUCUAACCUACUUUCUUCGGCCCAAUAUAUAAAGCAUAGUGAAAUUUGGUGCAAUCUUCUAACUUAUACUGUGACCAUUUAUUUAUUUUAUAUUAUAUUGUUUAUGGUUAUAAGUUUAUAAUUAUUAGAUAGUACAUUUUAUUAUAAAUUUAAUUAUAUCAAAUUUCCAUUAUAGUAGUUAAAGAUUAUUAGUUAAAUUAUGAAAGGUUAGAAAGUUUGAAUCUGGACUUAUUAAAAUGCCUUAUAAAUUGGAUGUGUGUGUGUGAGAGAGAGAGGUCCAGGACAAGAGGCAAAAUGACGUUUGGCCAGAAUCGGGAUGGUGGGGACUGGGGCGGCUACACGGCUAGCCUUGUUUAGUUUAAUCAAAAAUUUAAAAACUUUUCAAGAUUCUCCGUCACAUUAAAUCUUGUAGUACAUGCAUGAAGCACUAAAUAUAGUCGAAAAUAAAAACUAGUUAUACAGUUUGUCUAUAAUUUACGAGACGAAUCUUUUGAGCCUAAUUAAUCUAUAAUUAAACAAUAAUUAUCAAAUACAAACGAAAGUGCUACAAUAUCAAAAUCUAAAUUUUUUUCACAUCUAAACAUGGGCUAACUUCCAAUUCCAAGCUACACGGCAGAAGCCAAUCAGCAGCAUGCAUAGGUGCAGGCCUCCCGCACGCAUUCCCCCGUGCUUCUGGAGUCCUCGCCGACGGAUUCGAGUCCAAUCUAUUUCCGGCCACGGCCGUUGACCAACGUGUCGCUUUCGGCGUCGCGCCGGGAGCCGGUUUCAUUUCAGAGACGGGCCUGGUGGCUUUGCACCUGCACAGCACAGACUUGGCCUGGGCCGCUACGGUAGCGGUCGCAGUGUGGCACGGUUGGCAUCUGUGCGGGUUCGCGGCCUUUCUACGAGUGGAUCCAGCCGUGUGGAUUUAUUAAAAUGGUAUUUCCCCGGCAGAAUCAUCUCUAAGCCCCAGAGUGGGCGAGUCGGGCCUAAUUUUAUUCUUAGCUCGACACAGGCCAGGCCAGGCGAGGAGCUGAAUGGACCACCUGCAAAAUUUAUUAUAGUGUAAAAUAGUUAAAAUAAUAUUUCGUGGCAGGCUCAGGUUAAAAAGCAAAUUCUGGAUAGUAUGAUCUGUGCGCAGACCCUAUCCACUAAGGUUUACAGGUGGGUUAAAACCCAGUGAACUCGGAGCGGGCUCAAUUUGCUAAGAUCUAAUCCCGAGUGGCGUCUAGUACUCGUCACCGGCCGGUGUGGCAACUUGUCCAGUCAAGAAGAAAUACGAUGGAGGCUAGCAGCGGGUCAGCCAUGGACAUAUUGAUGAUAAUGGUGGGUCCAACAUAGGCCUUGUUUAGUUUUCAGAAAAAUUUAUAAAAACUUUCACAUUCUUCGUCACAUCGAAUCUUAGACGCAUACAUGAAGUAUUAAAUAUAGACAAAAAUAAAAACUAAUUACACAGUUUAGUCGGAAUUAACGAGACGAAUUUUUUGAGCCUAAUUAGUCUAUAAUUGAACAAUAUUUGUCAAAUACAAACGAAAGUGCUACAAUGUCGAUUUCUCAAAAAUUUUCGCAACUAAACAAAGCCAUAGACAUGUUCGAAAUGCAUGUGCAUAACAAGAGGAUGGCGGCGGACUCAAUUGUGCAUUCGUUGAAGAAGCAAUGAUGGCCUACACACUAAUAGGAACAGUGGUGCACGCGAGCUCAAACUCUGAUCAUGGUAGUUGCUGUAUGACAGUCCGAGAGAACUCCAACACACUUUUUUCUGUGUGUUCAACAUGCACAAAGGGUAGAGGAGGCAUAGACAAACUCAAUAGAAUUCAUUUCUAGAACAGAGGUGAAACACAAAGUAAGGAACAAUAGCGAUAGGAGGAGCUCGAUGUACGCUAUUGGUGGUGACGAGCAUUGGAGCAGAGAUAGAGCAGAAGCACGAUUCCAUGCUUGAGGGAUUGGAAAGGAAGACAUCACAGCUAGACAAGGAUAAGCAUGGGCUCGACAAUUUCAUGCCAUGCUAGUUGCUCUCCACAUGCCAUGUCAUAUCUAAUGGCCAAACAAAGGGUGAAUCACUUAAAAAUUUUGUGGAACCGAAAGUUAAAUCUAAGGGCUAGAAGAAGGGGUAUGGACAUGCGGUGAACCACUAAGUUUAUGGACCCACAAAUUAACUUUUAGAGUUGGUGAACCUAACCGAAACCUCCAUAAGUUAAUAGACCUCCGGUGCAUUAAACUCCUUUUAUUCUUAAUAGGAAUUGAUUUUAGUAAUAAAAACCUUCUAUAGCUUUUUCAAUUAGAUCUUCAAAUAUUUUUGUCAUCUAUUCUUGGUUCUUUUUGCUCAUCAAAGACAGAGAGUGAAGCUGAUUCUCUAAAAUGGCAAGAAACGGGGAGUGUUUUUAUUAGAAUGGCUUGCUCUUUUUUUUAGCAAAAAAUAGCUCGCUCUAAUUGAGGAUUUAGAGGGAGAGUCAGGAAUAAAUCUGGCCAUGGCCCUAUUUGUGGCCCAAAAGCCCCAAGUAAACCUAUGCAUUUUUGGCCCAUAAACAUCAUACUUAAGAGGCUAAGAGGACAAAGUCCACUAUCGCUGAACAUGGGUGACUGCUUUCAAAUAGGUUUACUGUAUAACUUAUUGUUAUUGCUUGCGAGUUUUUUGAGAGCUUAUUUUUAUGCUAGAGACUUUUUUUAUUAAACUUUAAUGGAGUGCAUGAAUUAUGCAAAGAUUCAAAUAAAAAAAUAUUUUUUUCUAAAAAAGUAAAUUAUCUACCUCUAUGAUUAUGAAUAUGAAUAUGGUCAAAAUGGAAAAUCAAAUUAUCCAGCGUUGUCAUCAUAUAAAAAUAAUCUAAAGUGGCACUUAAAUUUUUGUUAGAGAUUUCCAUUAAGUUCUCUAUAUUAGUUCUCAUGAGACAUAAAUAUAAGUGUUGAUGUGAGACAGAGAAAAAAAUAAGAAAUUUUAAUUAGUUGUGAACCCUAAAUUUAUACAUGAACUUGUAAUACCUAAGUCUAAGUCUUUUAAAAGUAGAAAAGCCCACAUAGAACCAUAGUCUGAUGUACUGCCUUUAUUCCAAAUUAUAAGUUAUAUUAUUUUUUCUAGGUAUAUAAUUUUUGUUAAGCAACUAGUAGAUGUAUAUUAUGCCUAUAUACAUAAUAAAAACCACAAAUAUAAAAAAAAAGACAAAAUGACCUACAAUUUUAAAAAGAGAUACUAGUUUUCUAAUAAUGGAUAGCGAGCCAAUCAUGUUUGUCCACCAUGUAUUAAUAUAUUGAAUGUAGUAAAUCAUGUUUAUCCAUCUUAUAUUAAUGCAUCAAAUAUAGUUUAUGUUUCGAAGGUCCUUAAACUUGUUUCCGGAUCUCUAAUAUCUCAAAAUAUAUAAUCUAGCUAGGUUCUCCAAGGGGUGUAGCUGCCUGAACCUCGUUCUAUAAUCAUUAAGAAAAGUUCCUCAAAUUUGACUCUUUGUUCAGUGCACAACCUAAGAGCAUGUUCGCUAGUCUAAAAAGCCAUGACUGAAAAUACUGUUCGCUGAUGCUGAUUUAUUAUGAGAGAAAAACAUUGUUGAUUAGAAAAAAAAAAGUACCGAACUUUUUUUUGCCAGCGAAGAGUACUUUGAGAGUAAAAUUGGAGGAUAAACGCCACUACGAGGAAAUACCGAAACCAUAAGAUUCCGAGAAGUGACGAAAGCGUUCUCGUCACAUAGUACCCAACGCAUCACUUCACGCAUCUCCUUUCAGGUACAAGCACGAGAGGGUUGUUCCUGGACACAAUAAGCCCUGGCUUCUCCUCCACAUCCACCUCGCCGAGCGGUGCACGCCAGUCGAAGCAGAAGAGCAGAUUGGCGAGCAGCAGCUCGACGACGGCCGUCGCGAAGUGCACGCCGGGGCAGCUCCUCCGGCCCAUCCCGAACGGCACGAGCGCGAAGCCGCCGUCGUGCCACGGCUUGUGGUCGCUGAGGUCGACGCCCUCGGCCAGGUGCCGCUCGGGCACGAACCGCGCCGCGUCGGGCCCCCACGCGCCAGCGUCGGUGCCGAUGGCCUUCGCGUUGACGAUCACCCGCGUCCCGGCGGGUAUCUCGUGGCCGCGCACCGUGCAUGCCUCGGUGGUCUCGCGGGGCACCAGCAGCGGCGCCGGUGGGUGCAGCCGCAGGGACUCCCUGAUGACCGACUUGAGGUACCGGAGCCGCGGGAGGUCCGCUUCCCGGACCAUGUCUUUGCCGCCAUCCACGGCGCUGCGGACUUCGCUCUGCGCCUUGCGGAGGAUGUCUGGGUGCUUGAUUAGCUCCGUCAUCGUCCAUUCCAGCGCCGCCGCCGAUGUUUCUGUUCGGGCGAGGAAGAUAUCCUGCAACCAUGCAUGCACGUAAACGUUUCAGUCUUUCAGACGGUGCAGCAGCCCGACAUCGAUCGAGGAACAUAUAUACAACUAGAAGCACGCAUGUACCAUCAAGAUGCCUUUGACUGCCCCACGGUUGCCGAAUGUGCUCCGGUGAGCUGGAUCCUGGUGCAGACGAAGGAGCACGUCAACCAAAUCCUCCUCCUUGGAGCCCGCUUGCUUGCUUAGAUGGUCGUGGAUGAGCCUCUCGUAGAACGCGUCGAGCUCAUGGAAGUAUCGCUCCAACCCCCUCCGGAGGCCGCGGAGCGCGUCCACCCACCCGAGCCACGGCAGGUAGUCAGACACGAAGAAAGCGCCGAAAUGCUUCUGCGACUCCUCCAGCACGGCCGCAGUCUCCUCGCCGUAGUCGCCGAAGGCGACGCGCAUCACGAUCCUGUUGCUCGCCGAGGUGAGCUUCUCGCUCAAGUUCACGGCCUGAGAACCGGCAGCCGACGACGCGUGCUCCGCUACGUCGGCGAUGAGCGCGGCAGCCUCGGCCUCCCUGGCGUCGCGGAACCCGCGCACGCGCGGGGCGCCGAGGAGCUCCGACAGGCACGCGCGGCGCGCGGCGCGCCACAGCGGGCUGUCCGGGGCAGAGAAGGUCAUGUCCUGAAGGCCGUAGGAGAGCCUGGUAGACGCGCGCUGAACCGGCCGCCCAGACAGGGCGCGGUCGUUGGGCUGGAACAGGGCGCGCGCCGCGUCGGCGGUGGAGACGACGAGCGUCGGCACGGAGCCGAGGCGGAGCAGCAUGAGCGGCGCCGCGUGCUUGGCGGCCAGCGCGGCUAGCGAGGCGUGCGGGAGCCGCCCGAGCUGGUGGAGGUUGCCGAUGAGAGGGAGCCCUCUUGGACGUGGGGGAGAAGGCGAGCUGGUGCCCGGCGCAUCAAGAAGCCGUAGGUGCCUGAAGAGGAGGACGGUAACGAGGACGAGGACGACGCCUGCAAAGAGCUCGAAAGCUUGGAGCGUAUCCAUGGGCAUUGCUGGCCCUGGGUAGUGGCGCUCAAUUGCCCGUGGUAUUCACCAGCUAUUUCCCUGAAGCGCUAUAAGUAGUCUGGCAAUAGCAGUACAUAUAUGGACUAAACGUAGACUUGUCAUGAAGUGCUUUAAUUUGGUCACUAAAAUAGUUGUAUCGCUUAGCCGCCGGGAGUGGUCAUGGUCAUCAGGUCAUGGUUGUUCCCUACCGCGGUGAGAAUGGAGUCAUGUAUAGGGGCCCAAACUCGAAAAAGAGCUAGAAAAAGAUGAAAAGGCCUACAAGUUUGGCUCUGUUCGGCGGUGUCUUUCUCUAAUUGCUUUGGUUUGUGAAGCAAACAGACUAAAUGAAAAGCCCAUCAACAUAAGAACACAAUUAUAGAAUCUGUGCUGAUCAAUAAAUUUAUUAUAAAAAUAUAUUCUGUAACUAAUCUAAGAAUAUUAAUUUUUGUAUCAUGAAUGUUAUUACUUUUUUAUAUAAAUUUAUUUAAAGUUCAAACUGUUUGUCUUCUUAAAGUCCUCAACUCCUUUUCUGAAUCUACUGGCUUAAGGGUUAACUUAAACUAGUUUCACAUGGUCCCAUCAACAUUUUUGAUGCAAAACUCAACCUUCUUUCCAACACCUUUGUUUGUGCUAAAGGCUCCCUGCCCUUUACCUAUUCGGAGAUUUCUGUAGAAAUUACCAAGGUAAAGAUUGAAGACUAACUCCUCCUUGUUUCAAAGUGUCAAAGAAGGCUUCCUUCUACUACUAUUUUUUUUUAAAAAAAACGUGAUCAGAGGGAGAGAGGCCCCCUACCGUAUUUCAUUAAAAAGAAAGCGAUUCUUCCCGAUCACGAAAAAACCCUCGAACCCUUAGCUACGCCAACGAGGAGAUUUCUAUUUACCCCCAGCCUGAAAUUCGCUCCCAUGAGGAUUCGUACUCAGGACUUGAGGAUGCCGCUAGAAAGCUCUAACCGCUUGAGCUAGAGUCCUUUGGCUCUACUACUAUUUUUCUCUCUUAGGUUGGUAAGUUAGAAAUCACCAAUGCUAUUCUGACAACUUUUCACUUGAGUGCUCUUGCCCUUCCAAAAGGUGUCCUCAAGCAAAUAGAUAAGUUUAGAAAGCACUGCCUUUGGAGGGAGGCUAACAUAAAUUCUAAAAAGGUCCCAUGGGAAAUGGUUUGUGUUCCAAAAGGACUAGGAGUUAUUGAUUUAACGAAGCACAAUGAAGCCCUUCCUCAAAUUCUUCUAUCACAAAGAUAUUCCCUGGGUAAGCAUUAGCAAAUGGAAAGUUGCCAAGUCACAUUAAAAAAGACUCCUUUUGAUGGAGAGAUAUCCUAAAGCUACUUGAUUGCUUCAAAUCUUUCACCUCGAUUCAGGUACAGAAUGGAGGAUCAUGUCUCUUUUGGUCAGACAACUGGAUUCAGCAACCUUUGAAGAUUGAGUACCCUGAACUCUUUUCCUUUGCUAAGAAUAAAGCUAUCACUAUAUCCAAAUUCCUCUCUCAGCAGUCACUCUCUGACCUCUUUUCACUGCCACUGUCCUCAGAAACAUUUCAACAGCUUCAAGUAUUACAAUCUUUCAGAGAACAUUUUUCUUUAACUAAGCAAUAAGACAUCUGGACUCCUCGGUGGGGAAGAGCAAAAGCAUCAAUAAUCUACAAGCACGUCAUUGGUCAUAGGCAGAUCCCUCAAGUUUACAAGUGGUCGUGGGAAUGUUUUUGUCAGUUGGACUCAUACAAUUGUGUGCUUUGUCAAGAAUCAAUUAAGGAAAUAACUGAACAUUUGUUCCUUCAGUGUCAGUUUGCUAAAGAUCGCUGGAGCAUAUUGGCAUUGUAAUUUAGGCAGAUCAAAACAUCAUUGCAGCAGUUGCUCAGAUCAAAGAUCAAUCUCACCCUACCUUCUUUAUGAUGGUCUCAAUUUUAAUGUGCUGGGCAAUUUGGACAGUUCGGAAUGACAGAUGUUGAGUCAACCAUCAACUCAGCUAAAGCAGUAUACACAAAGGAAAUAAAGAUCCUUUCCCUAAUGGCUAGGACAAGAUUAUUCUUUGUGGAUUCAAAGUCCGUUGUAAUCGCUCUUCUUUUUAGUUUUUUUUUUGUUUCUUUCUUUGUUUCUUAAACUUGUAGUUUAUCUGCGCUGCUCUACUGCUCCUUUGCUUCUUUGUACCAGUGUUCUAUUCAAUAAAUUCCUAUGGAGGCUCUUUGCCCCUCCAAUUUCUUAAAAAAAAAAAAGCUAUCAGCUCGACUUGAGACGGGAAAUAAUAAAUGAAAAAAUAUGCACAUCAGAACGGGCAUGCAGAGGCAGAGCUAUGGAACUCGUAUCGUGCCAACCCCGGAGCUUACCAUAUGAGAAAGAACAAAGCGGUGACGGUGUCGUCAUCUCCCCUGGCGUUGCUGGAUAGCCUCUAACACAUGGCUGCCCAUGUGUCAGCUUGCAUGCACACCUUGCAUUUAGUCGGAGUUCGACGACCAUGUAUUCUAUCGUCCCAUAAAAACCAUGAACAUAUCUCCCAAUCUGGCAGUCUCUCUCCCUAUCUGCGCUCGCACCUUGUCUCACACGCACAAGCGGAGCAGAGCAGAGCCAUGGCGCUUCUCUUGCUCCUCGCCUUCCUGCUGGCAACGGCUGCAGCCCCGGCCGCCGCAGUCGCCAUGGACAACGGAACACACGACGGCAGCAAAACCGCCACGUCCGCGGUCCAGUCGUGCAUCGGCGAGGGGUGCGAGCAACCGGCGCAGGCGCUGCCAAUCUACGGGUACCCGCCACCGGCGGCACCGUCGCUGCCAUCCGCACCGCCGGCGCCACCAUCGGUCCCGGGCUCACUGACGCCGUGCCCGCCGGUGACCGUCGUCUGCUGCGGCGGCGGCGGCGGUGCCGGGGGGCAGUUCCCACAGCAACCGAACAACUACGGGCCUCCUGCCGGUGGUUACGUGCCCUAUUACAGCAACGCCUCUGCCUCGCCUCCUGUGCUGCUUGUUCCCGUUACUGCUGGCUACUACGUCAUGGCUGCAGCUUGCAUCUUUUUACUGUGGACUGUGGUGUAGUUACUCUGGCAUGUACUAAAACGGUAGCUUCUAUCUCGGGUUAAUAUAUACUCCUGAGGCUGAGAAGUCGAAAUUAAAGGGGGGUGGGGGGUGGGUGGGGGCCGGGGGGCGCAUGUAUACUAUGAGUAAAUAAUAAAAAUAUAGAUGAGGGAGAUGUGUAUACUCGACGUGUUGGGUUCAACGUAAUGGGGUUCAAGGGUAAAUACUGUCGUGUGUAAAUGUGCUUCACGGCGUCUCCAUUCUCCUCUGAUAUUACACAACAAGCCUAUAAUCUGUUGUAAAAAAAAAAACCUGUAAUCGAUCUCGACGAGCUUUGUAGCUCGAUAAAGCUAGCGAUUUUGAUUAAACUUUAGAUGUUUUGACUCUUCAAAACUCUUAAAUGUUUUAUAAUUUGAGAUGGAGGGAGUAGUUGUGAAAGAUCAUUUUCAAUAUGUACUUGUAGGACCACAUUGAUCAAAAGUUCCUUUUUUCAAUCCUGAAAGGGGAAGAAGGAACAUGACAGACGGCACUUAUUGGCUGAAAUUAGACCACAAGAUCACAUCGCUUGGAUAUCACGUCCCAUUUCAGGCAGCGACGUGCAGUACAGUGUCCUUAUCUCUUAAUUAUUAAUUAAUCAAGACUGAGCACUGGUCACGCAUCUCCUUUUAGCCACAAGCACUAGCGGGUUCUUCCUGUGCACUGUCAGCGCGUUCUCCUCCUCAACAUCCACCACCUCGCCACGCGGCGCACGCCAGUCAAAGCAGAGCAGCAGGUUGGCGAGCAGCAGCUCCACCACGGCCGUGGCGAAGUGCACGCCGGGGCAGCUCCUCCGGCCGACCCCGAACGGCACCAGCGCGUAGCUGCCGUGCCACGGCUUGUGGUCGUCGAGGUCCGCGCCGUCGCCGUCGCCGUCGUGCCGCUCCGGCACGAAACGCGCCGCGUCAGCUCCCCACGCGUCGGGGUCCAUGCCGAUUGCCUUCGCGUUGACGACCACCCGCGUCCCGGCUGGCACCUCGCGGCCGUGCACCGUGCACGGCUCGGUGGUCUCCCUCGGCACCAGGAGCGGCGCCGGCGGGUGCAGCCGUAGGGACUCUCUGAUGACUAGCUUCAGGUAAUGGAGGCGCGGGAGGUCGGAUUCGAGGACCAUGUCUUUGUUCGACACGACGCUGCGCACCUCUUGCUGCGCUUUGGCAAGAACGUCCGGGUUCCUGACUAGCUCCGUCAUCGUCCAUUCCACGGUCGCCGACGACGUGUCUGUCCCGGCAAUAAACAUGUCCUUUUUGGCAUGCAAGCACAAUGUCAGUCGUCGAUCGAUGCAAGCGUAUACAUACAGUCGAGGAAGCAAUGGCAUGCACUUUUGUCUCUUACCGUUAGGAUGCCUUUGAUCUGGCUACGGCUGCCGAACGUGUUCUGCUGAGCCGGGUCAUUGUGCAGGCGGAGGAGCACGUCAACAAAGUCCCCCUCCUCCUUGGAUUUGGUGCCCUUGUUGAUGUGCUCGUCGAUGACCUUCUCGUAGAACGCAUCGAGCUCACGGAAGUUCCGCUCCAGCCGCCUCCGCAGGCCACGGAGUGCGUCCAGCCAUCCAAGCCACGGCAUGUAAUCGGCCACAAAGAAAGCGCCCAGAAGCCUCUGCGUCUCCUCCAGGACAGCCCUAGUCCGGACGCUGUCGACGUCGCCGCCGCCGUCGUCGCCAAAGGCGACACGCCGCACGAUCCGGUUGGUGGUCGCAACAAGCCUGUCGCUGAGGUUCACGGGAGAGCCACCGUCCCUGGAAGACGACUCGUCCGCCACGGCGGCGACGAGCGCGGCGGCCUCGGCCUCCCGGACGUCUCGGAACCCGCGCACGCGCGGGGCGCCGAGGAGCUCCGACAGGCACGCGCGCCGCGCCGCGCGCCAGAACCCGCCGUCCGGGGGCGCGAACGAGACGUUCCGCAGGCCGUAGGAGAGCCUGGCGGCCGCGUACAGCGCCGGGCGGCCCGACAGGGCCCGGUCGUUGUGCUGGAACACGGCGCGCGCCGCGUCGGCGGACGAGACGACGAGCGUCGGCACGGAGCCCAGGCGGAGCAGCAUGAGCGGCGCCGCGUGCCGCGCCGCUAGCGUGGCCAGGGACGCCUGUGGGCGCGCGCCGAGCUGGUGGAGGUUGCCGAUGAUGGGGAGUCCUCUUGGACGUGGGAAAGGAGGCGGCGGCGUGCUGGCGGCGCGCCUCUUGGAAGGUGAAGGCAGCAUGCGCUUGAAGACGAUCAUGGUUGCGAGGACCAGGAGAACGCGUGCAAGGAGCUCGUGAACUUGGAGAGUCUCCAUGGACACUGACAUGCCGUGCUCGUGCCGUGCUCAUCUACUGUUUGCCCAUAGCUGCUGAGGCUUAUAUAUAGCUGCAAUUUGGAACAACGAACUCCACACCACACACGCAAAAAUAAUCGAAAAGGAACGAAUGGUAGAGUUCGCACCAAGCAUAAAGAUGCAAGCUUCACAAAAUACGUAAAUGUUUUUGUUUUUUUCUAGCUUGCACCACGUGAUGCAAACUAGAAAAACAUUUAUUUUAUCAAGCUUGACGUUUUUAUCUUCCUUCUUGAUUCGACCGAUAUCUCCGCCAAUUGUCACAACACCAUUAUCCUCCUCCUUGACUUGGUUGACGUCGUCGUCUUCAUCACCUAUAUACUCUUUGUAUUUAUUGAUGCCCCCAAAGUGUUAGCCACUACAAUUGAUCAUCGAGCCUCUUGGUCAAUUGAUCAAAACCUCACGUCUAUCUUUCACCACUCCUGGUCCAUCAGCACGACAUGUCCGUAUUUGAUCUUUAUCUCGCCGUCGACCGCCGUCGACCACCGUCUCCAAGCUCCACACAUACGCACCAUAAGUCAAGAGACAUGUUGCAUAAUCCAACCCACGUCAUAGUUCACCGACUCAACCUAAGAUGUAAGUCAUAUGAUAAUCACUCAUCACAACCGAACCACAAAGGUACAUAUGUAUCAACCUUGUGUUCACAUCAUCUUUGAUUGGUGACCAGCUGCAAUUUGGUGCCCAUGCAGAACACAUUUUUCUGACCAAACUAUUGAGAGACUAGAUUCUUAAUUGUAUAGUAUAUUUUAUUCCUUGCAGUAGGACACAACUUAUACUUAAGUGAACUAUUUUAUUCUCAGAAAUGCUAUAUGACACAUGUGUGUUUUGUGGUUUGUUGGCACAUGAAUUUUAUGGCCGCUGGAUGAAGACUGGAGCACCGGAUUUGAUCUGAACUGUUCUGCUUGUUUUGUUUCGCUGACGUGCGGGGCCCACUCAGGCGUUACUGUUUGAAAUGGGGAGUCGCGCCUGUCUGUUUCUGGCUAUCCCACUUUCCCCAUCGUCUGGCUAUCCCACUUUCCCAGCAACACUCGAGUGGAAGUAGUUCGUCCUCGGCGAUUUCACCGGCAACCUCGCCGACGUUGCCGCUCCGGUGCGCCCUGUCUCGUCUCCCCACUUCCUUCCCUCGCUUCGUCGGUCGUCGUCUGCCCCAGAGAGUAGGAGCCGCCUCGUCCCUCCCGGCCCCGCCCGCGCCCCCCGAUCCCGUCUGUCACCAUGAAUCCCGAGUAGUAAGUUCCUCCUCCCUCCUCUCCGUCUCCAAUCGUGCUGCCGUUUCUGCAGCGUGCUCGUCUCGCGAAGUGAAGCAGCGCGUCUCGCAGCGUGUGGACGAUGGUCUUCUCUCCAUGGUUGUUCAUUGCCGGAUCUGUACGUGGCGCCGACUUCGACGACGACGACCUCGCCUGAGGGAACUAAUUGCCGGAUCUGUACGCUGGAUGAUUUUGGGUUGUGGUUGUGGAUUUGGUUGAUGGAAGAGAUUGGGGCGGACAGGUGUACGAUGCGCACAGGUGUGGGUGUGGUGUGGUAUACUCCUAUCCUAGACCCAGCGGAGAGAGAGAGAUCAGGAGCAAUGGAUGGAGACGUCGGAGAGCAAUACAUGUGCACUGCAAGUUGCGGGCUGUGGCCUGUGGGCUGGUCUGGUCGAGGUUGUGUGUCUUCAUUUUCUCCUUGUUCUUUGGUUCAGGGUCUUCGGCUGAUAGUCAGAUCUAUCGAUGUUAAACUUGAGGAUUACUGUGUUCUUCUAGACUUCUGGUUCAAACAUAUCGUCAGUUUUUUCCCUUCUGUAGUUCUGUGUGAUGGCACGAUCGAUGAUUGUGAUUUGUGACCCCUGAAGUUGCAGUGAGCACACCCCCCUAUGGUUAAUUAAUUUCCCUUCUGUAUGUUUUGUCUCAUGUUGUAGUGGGAGCUGUGUCCUUCCUGCAUGUGAAUGAGUUAGCCUGUUGUCUUAGAUGUCUAUUUUUAACUUGAUUCAAAUUUGUCAGUAUCCAGUUAUAGUUUCCAUUAUAUUUUUUUGCAACUGAAGGGCAAACAUGCUUGUUAGAAAUCCGUAGGCCAAAGGUUAAGAGAAGGGAAAAAAGAGGGGGUAUGAAUGCUAAUUGUGGCGUCAUGAUGUCUUUUGUUUAUGGUGCUACGAAUGUAGGUUCAGCAGCUAUGAUCAUAUAGUUCUCCUUUUUUAUUAGGGAUAUAAUUUUUGUGGGGUCUUUUUUGUUGCCUAUAGCUUUAUAUUUCUGAUGUCCUGCUAGUCUGUGGCUCAUGAAAUUGAGGCACCAUGGUGCUUGUUAUGUAGAUGGUUAGCUUUGCACACAUGGUUCAGAACGGUUACCUUCUAAUCUUCUGUGUUUUCAUCUGGCUGGUUAUUCUCUUUAGUAGUUUGUGCUUGUGUCUGUUUUUCUUGGUCUGUCAUUUUUACUAGUUAAGCAAUAUCAGUAAUAGCAGCCAUUGAGCAGUACAAUUGAACUCUUGCUUUCCAGGUAGCAGUUUGCGAAUUAAAUAUCUGUGCAACGUCUCUUGCUACAUAUUCAUCUAGUAUUUAAUUCUUGGAAGCUAGUAUUUGUGCUUAAGUCUAGUUGCUCAGUUAAUCUUGCACAAUGGUCAUCUAGUUUAGUAUUUACUGUCUUUUCAGAUCUUGUGGCUGUUCUGGUGCUUUUAGUUUUAGUUUCAGGUAGCGCUUUUGGCCUGUCCAGCAGUAGUAGCUUUAGCUUAUCGUGUUCUGCUAGUUUCCUGUCCAGUUCAGUAGUUUCUCAGUUUCCCUGCAGACUCUGCUUUCCGGACAAUUCGUUUUAUUUUGUCUCAAUUUAGCUCGGUCAGUCCUUUUUGGUGCUGCGUUUUUCUAGGUGAACAAUUCUUCAUUAGUAUCUGGUUUGGUUAGAACAGUACUGCAGCAGUGAGCUAAAUUUUUACACUGUUUUUAGGCACGGUUUUCGUUAUUUUCGAUUCAUAUUAUCUGAGAUUGGUGUGUCAGAUUGUCAUGAAUAUACAUUUUUUGUUAGCUACUACUAGUGCUACCCCUGUCUGAAUAUUUAUUUUGUGCCUACUAUGGUCCUCAUGAUAUGCAGUUGGAGCUGUUUCUGCUGUUUUUAUUUUCUGAUAUUUUUGUUGCUGCUGCAGGAGCUUUGAACUUGUUUAUUUUUUCUGAGUUUUCUUUUUUUCUCUUUCUCUUUGUUUUUGUGCUUGUGUGCAUGUUGGUCUGUGUACGUGUCCGUGCAUUUUGGGUGUGGCAGGUUUGUUUAUUGGGUUUUUUUCCUUGUUAUUCUGUGUUUUUAAUGUUGUUAUCUCUAUUAAUUGUUAUAGCUAAUGUGGUCAAAUCAAACUUGCAGAUGUGGACACUGCAAGAAGCUUGCUCCAGAGGUAAUAAUGCUUCUCCUAUCAUGUGGUUCUAUUCCAAUCCCAUCUGUUUUAUGUUAUGGAUCCUUAAGUCAUAAAUCGUGUUUUCGUAGUUUCAGUAGGACAUCUGAAUCAUUCUUGGGAGAUUUGCACAUGGCCCUGGAAUUAAGUGUGCACUAUUGGGCUCUGAAUCUAGCUUAUGCUCUAGUUUAGCUUUUAUGCUUUGACUGUAUAUGUUCUGAUUAUUUUAAUUUGAUAGGCCACAAACUUUGAAUAAUGAUUAUUUGAAGCUUGACUGCUUGAGAGGCCAUUUGCCCUGUUUGGUUAUUUCAAUGUUACUUUAGAUUCUACUAUUAUCUGUUUCCCCCCUCAGGUGCCAUCUAAGUAAUAGCUUCCCAUAGUGGGUCUUUAGGUUUAUGCUCUGUUAUCCAAAGUAUAUGGUAGGAUCCGAACUGUUCUAACUGCGGGAGAAACUCAAAGCCAUUCAGUUUUUGAACUAAAAUUUGAUCAUAUGCUGCACCCAGUACCACCAGCAUUCAGUUUUGACGUAAGGAGCUGAGAAAGAGGAAUGCAGUAGAAAGAGCUGCAUGAAUUUUUUUGUGAUCCUGGAAUUGUGAGUUUCUCGAAUUGUGUAGGCUGAGUUAUUUGAUUUAUAGAAUUUGUGUCAGAUAAUAAUUCUUUUUCAAAUGUGUGAUUAUGUGUGUUUCCUCUGAACUGUUAUUUGGGAAUCAGUCAUUGCUAGUUUAUUUUCUGAUUUGGAGGUCUGUUCAAUUGUUACUCAUCUUUUUUUCUCCGCAUUUGUGCUGCAGGGCUCUGGAAUGAAGCUCAAGGACAUACCCAAUGGUAAGCUCGGCCUCUUCAAAUAUGUUCCACUAUUUUUGUCCCACUGUACUGGAUAUUAUCUGUUUGCUAGUGGCAUUUCACUGAUUGUUGACUGACUCUACAAGAUCUAUGUAGCCAUGUAACGUGAUGUCUUGCCAAGUUAAUGCUCUGUCCAUUUCGCUCAGGGGUCGAAAUAAUUUAAGAGAAAAAAAAACAGGCCAUUCUCCCGAGAAGACCAGUUUGCCUGUUUUUUAUGAAUUGGUAGAGUUCUGUAGAAUAUAAAAAUAGUUUCAGUAGGAAAUCUGAAUCAUUCUUGGGGGAUUUGCACAUGGCCCUGGAAUUAAGUGUGCACUAUUGGGCUCUGAAUCUAGCUUAUGCUCUAGUUUAGCUUUUAUGCUUUGACUGUAUAUAUUCUGAUUAUUUUUAUUUGAUAGAACCCUAGUGCCAUGAACUUUUUUAUUCUAAAUUUAGUUGUUUAUCUGGAUCACUUACUUUUUGCUUGGCACCCACGAUGCAUUUCAAGUCCUUAAGUUUAAGAGGUAGUUAAUGAACAGUACAUGGUUCUUCUAUGCCUUGUUGGGAUCCUUGACAUGGUUAUUUGCUAAUGGUACCAUAAAGUUGUGCUAUCUGUUUCUGGAGUUAUCAAUCAAUUGAGUUCCUUCUCUUUUGCUUUUUGGUUGGUAUUAGGUGUUAGUCAAGAUGCCUUAAUUCCUAUGACCUGGCUACCAAUCUUGGUCCUCGUUGAUUUGAACUGUAUUUGUUUGGUAGCAGGUGUGAGGAAUUUAUCUUGGUGCUGUGUUAGCUACUUGAUUUGAAAGCUAAUCUAAGUUGCUAGGGAAGUGAUUCAAAGCAACUGAUUUUAGUGGGUUUGUGUGUUAUCCAUCUAGAGUGCACAAUAUCAGAAACUCUGUAUGAGAUAGAUAUCUGAUGCCAUUUCAGACAUGUGGUAUCUUACAUAUUUUGGCACAUCUGUUUCUUGUAUUCUCUAAAUUUAGCAUUUAAGUCCAUUCUGCUGCAUCAUAGAUUUCAUUGGAGGUCACUUGUGGACUGCAGUUUUGAAGUUAUCAUGUAACUGUUCUCAUAAUGAAGUUGUUUACUUUCAGGCUUCUGACGGCACCAGGAACUCCCCUAUUCCCAUCUGUAUAAGUUGAGUCCAAAAGGUCCCCGGUGAGCCAAGCUGGAACGCCAAAGACUCGUCCAACUACCUUAAAAUCUAGGGUUAGUCAUUUGAAGAUAACCUGUAGUCCUGUAAUUUGGUUCUUGGGAGUACAAUUAUACAAAACUGUCAUAAGAAAUAUUUCUAACUUUUGAAUCAGCAGACAAAGUCAGUGAAAUUCCACCUCAUGGUGGGAUAUGAAACUGUACUUUGUAGAGAGGGAUGGAUGUCAGUCAUAUCAGGUUUCCUAUAACAAGAAAGGUCCCAAAAGAUGAUCCAUUGUCUGAUGAACCUACUAUAAGAUUAACUGCAAAGUUAACAUUUAUUAUUUCUGUUGUGUAUUUGACGUGAAGUGUGCUUUUAUGCUGUCCUCUGUUGUCUAAAAAGUCUUUUACUAGUCCUUAUUGUGGAAGGUCAGGUGAUGAAUCCUUAUUGAAUUGGUAAUUUAUGAUUUCUUACUAGAAAUCCUUUGUAUUGCUAGGUUGUCAUGUUGCUGUUGUAGUACAAUAGUAGGAGCUCAAAUAUUUUAACUGUGUGUUGCAUAUACUGUACAAUAAAUAUGUGUGCAGUACCCAAUUCUUGAUUGCACAUUUAUAAGUAGUAAAUUGCACACUUAAAUUACUGCAAUUAUGGUGUUUAACAUGUGCAAUAUCCAGUCUUUAUAUGUAACUUUCCCACUAUUUUGUUUUCCUUUUUACAUUUCAUUAAGCAGGAAAGCAUAUGUUCAGAAAGCUUGCACUAGGAAAACUCUUUUACUCAAAUAGUCCAAGUGUAGCAUUAUUUAGAUUGUUUGACGAUGAAUAAUAUUGCUCUAGCCUAGAUUUGUGUGAACACACAUCUGUGUUGUCUCAUCACCAAAUGUCUGAGAAGUAGGUUAAAUAUGGUCUUUCUUGAUUUUGUAAAUCAUAUCAUUUUGUGUGUUUCUUAUAGUAAUAUUUUUGUGUCUUGUUUUGUAUAUCUUGUUUCAGCUUUAGCAAUGAUAGUGGUAUCUUUGCAAUGAAGAAUCUUGAGCUUUGGGACCUAAAUGUCAAUUUGGUGGACAAGUUUUGUGAAGAUGAUGUUGACCAUCUUCGUAUCAAGUACGUCAAUGACAUGAUUUUCAAUGAAUUCAAUUGUUCUGAUGUUGGUCGAUCAAAAGUCAUGGAAUAUGAUGCCGAGGUAAUACUAGUUGCAAUGUCACUUUUUUGUGUACUGUUCCAUCAUGUACUCAAUUGAUAGUUGAUUCUAAUAUUUUUUUCCUCAUGUCUAUGCAAAGUACUACAAGAGAGAAUGACCUACAUGUUUGUGUCCAGAUCUUGUGUUUUAGGUUCCUGUUAUAUAGGGUGACCUACAUGUUUGUGUCCAGAUCUUGUGUUUUAGGUUCCUGUUAUAUAGGGUGUAGGUUCAUGCUAUUAGUGUAUGGUACUUUGUAAAGAAGCAACUAUGUUGAUGAGAAUAUUUGGAGCUACAGUGGUUGUAAAUACUAAUCUAUAGUCAGUCAAGAGGAUACAGUAAAGUUGAUGACAAUAUUUGGUACUAUUUGCAUCUACAACAAGAUGCAUUUUUUGUUUUAAUGCUUCAUCUGAACUGUUUGUUUUAUAUGCAUUUUUUAGACUUGCUUUCUCUGUUAGUGUGUCUAUUUUGUCCUCUAUGUGUUAGUGUAGUAACUUUUGAUAGCAAAAGACAAGGACAAGUUUGAGGGGUUGUGGAGGUCCCUCUUCUUCUUUACAUUACCAUCAGAAUGAUGGUUGGGAUCAGACGAUGGAAGCUGCUGCACUAAAAUCCAGGGUGGUGUAUGUAAGUACCUUUUUAUUUUAGUUCUAAUUUUUUAAGCAUGUGUUAGGGUUGUAUAUUGCCUUUGUACAUGCUCAGUUCAGUGUACUGCUGAUUUUAGACUAACUCCACUACUCUAGAAAGAUUGAAAGGACUAGGUAGUGAAAGAAAACAUAGAAACCUCACAUUUUGAUUUGUGUUAAUUUUGCUUUGUGUUUACACCAUCUUGAAAUCUAUUUAUUUUGAUUUGUGUUAAGAAACACCUCCUAUUUGUCCUUGUCCAUUCAUAGAAAAAAAUUGUCUCUUGUGAUUUGUGCUAAAACAUCUUCAAAUCUGUUUAUUGUGCUUUGUGUUUACACCAUCUUGAAAUCUGUUUAUUUUGAUUUGUGUUAAGAAACACCUCGUAUUUGUCCUUGUCCUUUCAUAGAAAAAAAUUGUCUCUUGUGAUUUGUGCUAAAACAUCUUCAAAUCUGUUUAUUGUGCUUUCUUAUUUGUUAAAUUUUUUUUCUUUGUCAUUUUCAGGCAAAGUACCAUCUCAUCAGGUUCAAGGAGCAAAGAGGAAGGAUUUGAGAGCACCACGAAUGCUUACAACUCACCCCAUUAGCCAUGGGCUUGCUUAUGCCACAAAGAGCACUCAUAUGUGUAAGUAUAUCAAGCGCUAUGUUUCAGCUUAGGAAACCUUAAUGGUUGCAAAAUAUGUUGUAACACAAUCUCAUACACAAAAACAUCUAAAUGAAAAGCAUAGCUUGUGCAUAUUUGUUCUGGUAUUGGUGGAACCACAGAAAAAUAAAACAUCCGGUUACACAAUUGCAAUCGCCAUCAAUGUAAAUUGCAGGUAUCAGACACUGCAAUUGUAGUAUUCAUCAAAUGCAAUUGUAGUUCUGGGUAUACAAUAACUUAAGCUUUCUGUUCAUCUAACAAAUUACAUAAAUUAAUAGGCCACACAAAUUCACUGCAUGAUUAAUUUCACUUGCAUCUGUUGACCAUCUUUGAUUUUCAUGUCUUCACUGUAAUGUUGCUUUUGGAUGCAUGCCACCAUUUGUUGUUUCCUUUCUCUUCUUUCUUUUUGGCUUCACUGGGGAGCCUACAAAACAUUAUUAGUGAUGAGGUAUAGUUCAGUCUUGUAGUGCUUCACUGGGGAGCCUACAAAACAUCUAAAUUCUCCUAUUUUUUGGCUUCACUGGGGAGCCUACAAAACAUCUAAAUUCUCCUAUUUUUUGUCCUAAAUUGCUGUUGUUUUUUGUUGCUUUUUGAGAAAGUAGAUUGAAAAGAUUAGGAUACUAACCUUUGGUGAUGAGGUAUAGUUCUGUCUUGUAGUGCUUCUUCUUGAAAAUUUCCUCUUCUUUUGCAAUCUGAUUUCUUCCCCUUUCCCCUGCUCUGCGUGAGGAGAGCAGAGGCUUUCCCCACGCACAUCAGAUCUGUUUUCCUCUCCGUUGCUUCUCUCCCAAGUCUGUGUCCUAUAUAUGCUAUGGAUUGCUGGGUUUGGGCUUUUUAUUAUGGGCUGAACACUCAGAUCUGUUAAAUGGGUCUUUUUUCUUUUAUUAUGGGCUGUACAGAAAUUACAAUGGGUUUUCUCUACAUGGGCCUCUAUGGGUUGAUGUUGUUAAAUAGGUCUUUUUCCUUUUAUUGUGGGCUGUACAGAAAUUACAAUGGGUUUUCUCUACAUGGGCCUCUAUGGGUUGAUGCUGUUAAAUGAGUCUUUUUUUCUUUUAUUAUGGGCUGUACAGAAAUUAUAAUGGAUUUUCUCUGCAUGGGCCUCGUGGGCCUCUUUUAGAAUGUAGGCAACCAACAAUCAUGUGCUAACUUGUUAUAAAACACACAGAUUCUUGUUCUAUUGUAAAUCAUGUGUUUUACAUACAACCAACAACCAUGUGUUUUCUUAUCCUAAAACACAUGGUUUUUUGUCUGUUACAAUUUGUGUGUUUUGCAGCCAACAAACAACCAUGUGCUAGCUUUUGCUAAAACACAUGGUUGUUCAGUGGACAGACUCUUUAUUCUAGGAGAUGAAUCUGACGUGUGGUACAGAAAAAUCGUGUGUUGGAUUGCAAAAAAAGUUACAUAGGCGUUGUUUAGCAAUCCUGUUUAUUCUAUAGUUUUUAUUGUGACAAAAUUAUGAUGUGAUACUAUUUUACAUUAGCUUUGCAUAAUGAACCAUGCAAUUUUAUGAUUUUUUUUUCUUGCUGCCGUCGCAACGCAUGUGUACUCCCCUGGUACGGCUAGGAAGAAUGCAUGUUCACGAAACGCCCGUCGUACGUGCCAGUCCCGACCUCGUCGCUUCACUGCACGCCUCUCCUUUCAGCUACGAGCACGAGGGGAUUCUUCCUGCGCACGGUCACCCCGGUCUCCUCCUCCAAAUCAACCUCGCCAUGCGGCGCGCGCCAGUCAAAGCAGAACAGCAGGUUGGCCAGCAGCAGCUCGACCACGGAGGUGGCGAAGUGCAGGCCGGGGCAGGUCCUCCGUCCCAUCCCGAAGGGUUCACCUAGCGCCCGGACGUCCGGCUCGUAGGUGUGUGUCCGGACGCACUUAACACCCGACCAACGGACAGAGACCCAACCAAUCCGGACUCGCGUGCGUCCCGACUCGCGGCGCGCUCGCUUGCGGCCCCGCGCAGCCAUCCCGCCGCGCCGCCGUCUUGCUUGCGGCCCCGCGCAGCCAUCCCGCCGCGGCGCGCUCGCUUGCGGCCCCGCGCAGCCAUCCCGCCGCGCCGCCGUCUUGCUUGCGGCCCCGCGCAGCCAUCCCGCCGCGGCGCGCUCGCUUGCGGCCCCGCGCAGCCAUCCCGCCGCGCCGCCGUCUUGCUUGCGGCCCCGCGCAGCCAUCCCGCCGCGCCGCCGUCUUGCUUGCGGCCCCGCGCAGCCAUCCCGCCGCGCCGCCGUCUUGCUUGCGGCCCCGCGCAGCCAUCCCGCCGCGCCGCCGUCCGCGUGGCCCCGCGCAGCCAUCCCGCCGCGCCGCCGUCCGCGUGGCCCCGCGAAGCCAUCCCGCCGCGCCGCCCGUCCGCGUGGCCCCGCGAAGCCAUCCCGCCACGCCGCCCGUCUCGCCACGCCGCCCAUCCUCCCGCCGUUUCCCUCCUCCGUGUUCCCCUCCGCAGAGGUCCUCCCCGCGCUGGCACCGGCAAACCCCGUUCCCCCGUCGCCUUCGACUGCUUCAUGUCUCAUCUGCUGGCCAACGCCGAGAUCCCCACGGGCUGCCUUCCCCCGGCGAUUGUUGAGGGCCGUGAGACCGAUCUAUGGGUAGACGGGCGCAAGGAGGGCCCAAACCGGGGAUCAAGGGACGGAGUGCCUGUUGCAAUCACCAGGGGCAAGGAGAUGGUGGUGACGAAUUCAAAUCAACCCAAUCAGCAUGUAAUUCCUCUGUUUUGCUACUGAAACUUGUGUUACAAUAGUACUCAAAUAUUUAACAGAGUCCACUGCAACAAGAAUUUUGGUUGUCUGUGUGUUCUGCUGUGUGUCCUAUGAUGACGCUUUGAAACGUGCAGGAGGUUGAUGACGAUUCUGUUAGUGGACAUCACCAGAUUGUUGCAACUUCAAGCACUAACAGGGCUGCCUAUGUUUCAGAAGUAUGUUUCUGGGAAACUCUAACUAAAAUUGUUUAUUUCCUUCAAAAUAAUUAGCUGUUGUUGACUGCGUGUGUAAUCUGACAAUGUAUUUGUAACAUAGGGUUCCAUUGACCCUAUUCUUGAUCAGAGUCUUUCUAACGGGGCAGCAGUUCAGCUGUUUGAGGGUGUUGAUGUGGAGAUAACUGAUGACGAGUUGGUGUAUGAAGAAGAACAGGACGUUGUUAGCUCCCAACCAAUUGUUCCAUUUGAAGGGAUGGAGUUUGAUACAAUAGAUGAAGCAAGGAGGGUGUACAACGCUUAUGCAUUCAAGAUGGGAUUUAGUAUCAGGAUAGGCUCAUCAAGAAGUAGUCGUGUGACUAAACAAUUGAUAAGGAAGGAGUUUGAAUGUUCGCAUGCAAGGAUUACACCUGGUGAAAAGGAAGAAAGUGCAUCGAGUAAUGCAUCAUCAUCGGCAGCAGCUACAUCCAAGAAGAAGAGUGCAACAGCGGUAAUGACCACUGCAACAAGGAAACGAAGCACGUUAAAGAAGGCAGAUUGUAAGGCACAUAUGGCUGUGGGUCUACGUAACGGAAGGUGGAGGGUUGUGGUGUUUCAAGCAGAGCAUACACACCCUUUGGUGAAGAUAAAGGGCAGGGUAAUGCAGCUGCGGUCGCACAGACGAAUAUCAUGGGCAGAUUAUGAGCUAUUGAAGACACUGCACCAUCGAAACAUAUCCACCAUGCAAAUCAUGGCAGUGCUAGGAGACUUCCAUGGAGGCGUGGGAAACCUAACCUUCAACAGUAAGGAUGUCUCCAAUAUGAGGACACACUUGAGGGCAGGACUACGGUACAGAGACAUGGAUGCUGUCCUAGAGUAUUUUCAGAAGUUGCAAGCCGAGAGCCCUAGCUUCUUCUAUGCUAUCAAGCUAGAUGCUGAGAAUGCUGUAAGGGGGUUGUUUUGGGUUGAUGGCAGAUCAAGGGAGUUGUACAAGUGCUUCAGGGAUUGCAUAUUCUUUGACACGACGUUCUGCACUAACCGGUACAACAUGCCCUUUGCACCAAUUGUUGGGAUCAACAAUCAUGCCCAAAGCAUCCUACUAGGUUGUGCUCUGCUUCCGGAUGAGACUACUGAAACAUUUGUGUGGGUGCUUCAAACGCUCAAGGAUGCAAUGGGUGGAAUAGCACCAACCAACAUCAUGACUGACCAGGAUAGGGCCAUGAAAGCUGCAAUAGCACAGGUAUUCCCUUCUACAACACAUAGGUGCUGCAAGUUUCAUGUGGUCAGCAAAGCUUGUGAGAAGUUUGGUUGGUUAAUUAGAAACAACCCAGAAUUUGCAGAUGAGUUUGACUAUUGCAUCAACUUCACCGAGUCUCCAGAGGAGUUUGAGACGUUGUGGCAUAACAUAGGGGUGAAGUAUGAUAUGCAUAGCAAUGAUCAUUUUCAGAACAUGUCUUCAACCAAGUCUAUGUGGGCACCUGCAUAUUUCAAGAAAUGCUUCUUUCCCUUCACAAGCACAACAGGAAGAUCUGAGAGUAUGAAUGCAUUAUUCAAGACAAUGGUGCACCCACAGGACUCAGUGUUGCAGUUCCUUACCCAAUAUGAGUACAUAAUGGAAACAAGGAUUGAGAAGGAGUAUCGAGAAGCAGCAAAAGGUGAAACGACAAAUCCACCGCUGUGGGGGAGGUCUCAAAUUGAGAAGCAAGUAUCUAAGUUCUACACUAGAAGUAUUUUCUUCAAGUUUCAAGAGUUGCUGCGUGAUUCCACGGCAUUAACUAUAGAUUCGAUUGCUAAAGAGGGAAGCCAAAUGACAGUGCAGGUAAGGUGUACAUACAGACUGCACAUUUCUGUUGCAGCAUACAUAGAUGUUCUGUUUUACAAAAAUACUGAAACAUGUUAUUCAUUACUAGUGAAACAUAAUCUAGAGUCCAUUGAAACAAUAAUUCUGGGUGACUUUGUAAAUUGAUGGUACCCCUAUUUUGUACUUAUGUUGUAGGUGUUGAAACGAGUAUACAAGGAAGGUGAGGUGACAUUGAAAACAUACAAUGUUGCUGCGAAUCAGGGGUCUGAAACAUACACUUGCUCUUGCAACAUGUUUGACCAAGAUGGUCUCCUAUGUCCUCACAUCCUGAAAGUCUUUACUACACUUGAUGUGCAACAUGUACCGCAGAAGUAUCUGCUGCACAGGUGGUCUGAAGAAGCUACGCUGAAAGUUCCUCAACAUUUGUCAGGUCCUGAACCAGUGUUUGGUGUUCCAGCGACAAAUAAGCUGAGGUACAAUGCAUUGUGUAGGAAAAUGACACAGCUGGCUGCUGAUGCUUGUGUGGGUCCAGAAGAGUACAUGGUGGGUUCACAAGGGAUCGAUCAUUUGAGGGAAAAGGUGAAGGAAACCACGAAAGCAUUGAUUUCAAGACAAAAUGAUCCCCCAAAUGUAGUUGAGGGUGCAAAGGAGGUGGAGAGAGGGGUGAAACAAACAAAGUUCAAGAACCCUCCAGCAAAAGAUCCACAAGGGAGGCCUAGGAACAAGGUUGACCGUAAGAAGACCAUUGUACAACAAGUGAAAGAAAAAGCAAUAAAGAAGAACAAGUCCAAGGCUAAGAAAGACAAAGCCAAAGAGUCGGUGUGCUUGGUAUGCCACGAAGAAGGCCACGGUGUGGAGACGUGCAAGUUCUUAUCGGCAGCAAUGCACCUAAGGGACACAGAGUUAAAGCUGUAGAUUUAUAUUCCUUGAACAAAAAUAAGUGUAUAUAUGAGGCACACAUUGAUUUAUAAAUUAUAAACCAAUUUAGUUUUAUAUACGAACUCAAGCUUCUUUUGGUGUAGCACUUCGCUCAUCUUUCUUGUAGUAAGUUUUGAUUAUAUCUCCUUUCCUUUUUCUACAAGGCCACCUUUCAUUGAGAUUGAUCACUUUCACAUUACGUACGAUGAGUUCUAUGAUUCCUUCAAGGCAAGGGGAUUGGUUGGUAACAAUGUAAUGGCUUUGUGGAGUUAUGAGUUCAAUCUUGACCAGCUUCAAAUGCUUAAAGAGAAUAAAACAAGAGAUAUUAAAUUUGCUUUCCCCCAGUUGGCCACGGUAAUGAUACAAUACCUGUGACUUUCUAUUUCUAAAUGAAUUCCUCGAACUCAUCUUUUAUUUAGCUUUUUUCAUUUCUUAUUUUUCCAACCUUUUUUUUUGUGUGUGUGCUGCACAGUCAUUCUUGAGUGUGGAUCCAGCUUCUUUCAGUAAUGAUGGGACUCUCAAGAAAAUUUACACCAAGAUAAAUGAAACAUGGACUAUCGCCAAGAUGGAUCUGGUACGUGAGGUGUAUAUACAUUGUUUCGUUCCAAUGAGAAAGGCCAUCAACGAAGCAAGGGCACUCAUUUCAAAUGGGCAGUACUAAUGUUACAUCUGAGUUGCUCUACUGAAACAGCAAAGUUUCAUUACUGUUACAUAUGAAGAUAUCCUAAUGAAACAGUUGUAUAUACUGUGUACAUUCGAAAGGUUGAACACUGUUACAUCUGUGAUCUUCUGUUGCAACAGCAUGGUAGCACUAUUGUUACAUCUGAAUUGCUCUAGUGAAACAGCAAUGGUUGAACACUGUUACAUCUGUGAUCUUCUAUUGCAACAGCAUGGUAGCACUAUUGUUACAUCUGAAUUACUCUAGUGAAACAGCAAUGGUUGAACACUGUUACAUCUGUGAUCUUCUGUUGCAACAGCAUGGUAGUACUAUUGUUACAUCUGAAUUACUCUAGUGAAACAGCAAUGGUUGAACACUGUUACAUCUGUGAUCUUCUAUUGCAACAGCAUGGUAGCACUAUUGUUACAUCUGAAUUACUCUAGUGAAACAGCAAUGGUUGAACACUGUUACAUCUGUAAUUCUCCAAGGAAACAGUUAUCAACUUCUGUUACAUCUCAAAUUACGGCAACACUGAACAAACAUUAACAAGCAUGGACCGAUAGAUAACGUAGCGUAUCAUGAAUCAACUCCAUAUUUACAAGAAAUAUGAUGUUUCAUGGCACAUCGCUCUCCUAACACCUCCUAUCUACAUAGCGUCAACUUCAUCAGGUCUUCCUGGCAUUGUACUUCUUCACAAAUUCAUCUAGCUUAACCACAUUGUGUUCUGAUCCAAGGAGUAGUGCAGCAGCAUGCUUCCUGAAGUCUAGCACCGAAUCCUAGGCAGAGACAUAAUGAAAAAAAGAAAGCAAAGCAAGACUGAGCAAGCAUAUUUAGAGACAAAAAAUAAGAGUUAUAAAAAUAAUAAUAUUUUAGAAUCAAAACACAUACUUUCACAAGUGAUGGAUCCACAAUCUUCUUGCCAUCCCAUGCAUCCAUAUAAACCAUUGUAAAUAUCCCGCAGUCAUACCUUUUAAAAAAAAAGGAAAAUAAAACAUGUGAACAUACAAAUCAUUAGGCAAUGAUGACUAGGAAGGACAUGCUAAAAGUGCAACAUACACAUUCUUUUGUUUAGGAUAUCCCUCGGGGUAGAUGCACUCAAAACGAGACACAUCAGUUCUGAGUACCCCAUGUUUCAGUGCGGUGGCUGAAAAAUUCUGAAUCUGAAAAUAAAUGAAACAAUUCAGGAAUACAAAUGCAACCCAGAAUCAAGAGCUACUUCAACAUCUAAAGAAUGAAUGAUGCAACAUGAAAUCGAGAUCUAUUUUAACAAAAGCAGAAUGAACAGCAAGGAAUCCACCGAUCCACUUACCAAGUUCUGGGCACACUUCAAACAUGAGCUCUCCUUAGAGGCGCUUAGAGAGUCAAAGAAGGCAAUUUGCUUCAUGAACAUACUAACACAAAGAAGCACCCAGUGGUCUUGAAAAAUUAUCGGAAAGAACAUCUGCAUACACCUUUCAGUCAUUGACACAUGCAGCAAAUGACAAUGCAAUAUAUAAAGUGGAGAGAAUGAAACAUUGGGAAAAGUACAGUGCAACAUAUGAAUGCACAUUGUGCAACAUGUAUGGAACCAUUUGAAAUGAGUGUAUCUUGCUUCGUUGAUGGCCUUUCUCAUUGGAACGAAACAAUGUAUAUACACCUCACGUACCAGAUCCAUCUUGGCGAUAGUCCAUGUUUCAUUUAUCUUGGUGUAAAUUUUCUUGAGAGUCCCAUCAUUACUGAAAGAAGCUGGAUCCACACUCAAGAAUGACUGUGCAGCACACACACAAAAAAAAAGGUUGGAAAAAUAAGAAAUGAAAAAAGCUAAAUAAAAGAUGAGUUCGAGGAAUUCAUUUAGAAAUAGAAAGUCACAGGUAUUGUAUCAUUACCGUGGCCAACUGGGGGAAAGCAAAUUUAAUAUCUCUUGUUUUAUUCUCUUUAAGCAUUUGAAGCUGGUCAAGAUUGAACUCAUAACUCCACAAAGCCAUUACAUUGUUACCAACCAAUCCCCUUGCCUUGAAGGAAUCAUAGAACUCAUCGUACGUAAUGUGAAAGUGAUCAAUCUCAAUGAAAGGUGGCCUUGUAGAAAAAGGAAAGGAGAUAUAAUCAAAACUUACUACAAGAAAGAUGAGCGAAGUGCUACACCAAAAGAAGCUUGUUUCAACAAGUAUGAAUGAAGUAUAGAAACAAAAAAAAUAGCUAGUUUCAACACAUGCAUACUACAUUCACAAGAAGUAAACAAGCCUGGUGCAACAAAAUAUGGGUAGCACAUUAAAAGAGUGCACAAAGUGUAGGACAAUUCAAAGUUGUAUCCCUGAUCAAAGAUAGGAGGAGUGGGGAGUGGGUAAACUCACGGUUGGCAUUCACCCUCUAACUUGAAUCCCUGAUCGAAGGCUCUUUUAGCCAAAAAGUUGCUCCAAAUUUCUUUGAUAUCAGCAUCAUCACUCUUCGGUCUUGUUUGCUUCGGCCCAAGCCCAACAUCAAUCCUUUUCCUCUUCUUUCUAUUCCUUUUAUCAAUUGUGCUUGAGCCUGGUUGGUUGUCUUUGGAAGCAUCAAUGGUUGUGUAUGCUGGACAAAAAAUAUGGGAUAAAGUAUAUGGAAACAAGUGUACUAAAACAUAUGUAAAUAGAUACUGCAACACAUGUGGUAGUACCAGUGAAACCUAUAUGAAUGAUUGUUGCAACAAAUAAUCCAGUACUAAUGAAACAAUAUGAAAUCAAGGCUGCAGUAUUUAGAAAAUAUAACUACUGAAACACAUGUGGUACUACCAGUGAAACAUAUAUGAAUGAUUGCUGCAACACAUAAGCCAGUAUUAAUGAAACAAUAUGAAAUCAAGACUGCAGUAUUUAGAAAAUAAUAUAACUACUAAAACAUAUAGACAGAUAUACUGCAACACAUUUGGCAGUAUCACUGAAACAUAUAUGAAUGGUUGUUGCAACACAUAAGCCAGUACUAAUGAAACAAUAUGAAAUCAAGGCUGCAGUAUUUAGAAAAUAUAACUACUGAAACAUGUAGACAGAUAUAAUGCAACACAUGAGAUGGUACAAAUGAAACAGAUUAGGAAAGUUAUUGCAAUGGGUAUAGAAAAAAGGGAAAAAGAAGCCACAUUUGAACACAUGUACAAAUUAGGAGUGUUUACUGGUAGGCGUAGGGCUUCUUGAUCUUUCUCCACAGACAUCUUUGUACUCUGGGUCCUCAGGUUGGAAUAGGUCAAAUGAAGGGAUAUCAUCUAUAUACGGAUCUAUAUAUGAAGGGCUUGAUGGCUUGCAAGGAACUGGAUCUUUUGUGAUAUCCUUUGGUGGGGUUGCUAGAGGGGAAGGAAUUGGAUCUUUAGUACUCUCAUCUGGUAAGAUCAGUGGAGGGGAAGGAACUGCAUAUUUAGUGCUAUCUGCUGGUGGGAUUGGUGGAGAUGAAGGAACUGGACCUUUAGUACUCACAUCUGGUGCAAUUGGUGGAGGGGAAGGAAAUGGACCUUUUGUACUAUCCUCUAGUGUGAUUGGUGCACUAGAAGUACUUGCAUGUGUUGUACUCUCUAAUGGGUUAGAUGGUUUUUUGGGUGACACAGCAGCUGAACCUGUUGGAUCUGGUGGAGGAUGCAUGUUGACAUUGUCAUUGGUAGGUUUCUUCAGGUGGCUCAUCUUAUUUGACAUAUCAGCAACAUCAUUCAGACGUUUGUUCAAAUGAAUAAAUUUAGAAGCCAACUCAGCACCACGCUUUGCCAUAAUCGCCUUUCCUUGCUCUUUCAUUGUAUUUGCAAGCUCAUCAAAAUCUUUCUCCAACAAAGAAUUAUGCUCCGCCAAUAGAACUUGGUAUUCUUCAGGAAGAGACUGCAAUAAAUAAUGCAAUAUAUGAAGUGGAGAGAAUGAAACAUUGGGAAAAGUACAGUGAAACAUAUGAAUGCACAUUGUGCAACAUGUCUGGCAUUUACAAGUUGGUUUUGACAAAAUCACCUCAAUGGAAACCGCAUGAGUACCAUCUGGAUGGCGGGAGGAAGUGCCUUGGGAAUCCAUCCAGUCAUUAAGGCUUGGCUGCACUGGAUCUUCAUCUUGUCCAGACAAUGGAGCCGGAGUGUAACCAGUCAUGGGAACUGGGAUAGGAUAGGGGCUUUUCUUUCGGAACUAACAAUGAAUGAAGAUAUAUUAUAACAAAGAAAUAAAUAAUGCAAUGGCUAACAGGAAUGACUAAAGAUGAAUGAAGAUGGAAAAAAAACAUCAAACUCACAGGUUGCUGCCCAUAUGCAUUAAGCUGAACCCUACUCCUGUCAACAUUUGAAAUGAAUUCAAAGUCUUUCUUGGUGACAUGGCAAAUGCGUGGGACAGAAUAGUUGAUUUUGUGGGUAGCCCGGUCAGCAGGUAUGUCAAGACAGUCCAUGUAUGCAAUCUACAUUACAAAUGGUACAAAAAAUCAUGAAGGCCCAACAUUAGGAAAUCGCGGCUGCAGUAUAUGGAAACUUAUGUAAUCAAACAUAUAUAGAUAGCUAAUGCAACAUAUAAGGUAGUACCAUUGAAACAGAUCAGCAAAGUCAUUGCAAUGGAAAUACAGAUGGGUACAACAUAGAAGGGAUAAUCAACAUACCGCAAAAACCACAAGGCAAGAGCCAAGGUAAGGACAUUCAGUACCACCUUCAUCUUGUUUUGAAAUGGUUUGGUACUUUCGGACUUCAUUCAUCAAAUUAUCAAGAAUGUGCCCAGCCCAAUCAAAUGAUCUGAUUAGAGAGACAUCCUUUAAGUUGUGCAAGUACCGUGGGGUGAUGGCAUUGUCUGUGCCUGGGCAGAGUACAGACCCCAAGGCAAGCAACAUGAAUGCCCUCAGAAAAGUGGUCUUGUCAUUAGCUGUUUUCAACACAUCAAUGCAUUGGGACAAUUUUCCUCGCACUCCAUCCAUAAAAGGCUCACGAAUCUUCAGGAAUGCUUCAUAUUCAUCCGCAUUGCAAGUAAGCUUAACAGGCUCAUCUCCACUUGGCACACCAAGAAUGUUGCAAAUAAGCUGCUUGUCAAAUACGAUAACUUUAUCUUUGCGCCUAAACUCUCUCAAAUCAGGGUCAAUGUGCUUCAUGAUCCAUGCAACAAGAUUCACAGGCACGGAAAAGUCAGACAUGCUAAGUAAAGCACCUAAACCAGCCUCAUUUAUCCAACCUAUUUGUUCCUGAUUGAACUUGCAGUCACGGAUCCUGUGCAACGAAAAUCUGGUUUUGAAGGCAUCGCCACUGCUUUUGGUUUUGGGAACAUUAAUUGCUGUGUAAAAAAAGAUAGAGAAAACAACAUAUGUAUCAACACACAGGUGGACAACAUAGAUGCUUAGAUAACACAUAACAUUGAAACAUGCCAAUAUAUAGAGUCCAUCUUGUUGAUUGUUGCAAUAUAUAUGUAUAAAAAGGCAUGAAACAUUGGUAAUGUCAUGGUGAAACAAAGAAAUAUAAGUUAGUGAAACAUGUUCAAAAUUGCCAAUAUAUAAUUGCCACUGCAGUAUAUGUAUCUAUUGACUUUUGUUUAGAUACUAUAUGAUUGAUUAUAUAAUACUAAUAGAUCGGAUCAAAGGAGAUAUGCUGAUCGAAACAAGGCAACAAACAAAAUAAACAGUAGGGACAAAAACACAUUCAUAGUAAAUAAACAAUAUCUAUUGGUGAUCUUACACUAUGCACACCUAGAUAGUAAUAUCGGUGAUCUUACACUAUGCUUAAACACACAUUGCAACCACUGCACAGAUACAACAUCAAAUCAGCAUAAUAGUAACAUGAUAUGCAUAAUUAGCAUCAGAAUUAGCAUCACAAAUGAAACGAAAAUAUAUCAAAGGACUAAAACCUUGCUGCUGCUUUGGGGCCUUCUUUUUUGGAGAUCUCUUCAUUGAAGAUGAUUGUCCUGCCUUGCGGUUGCGGUUGGAGACAUUCAGUGUCAAACCCCCUCGUGCCCUGCUGUUGGACACCUUCCUCACUGCCAUACGCACCCGACCACGUCCCUGGCCAGAUGGUUGUGCAUCCUCAUCCUCGGUGCUGCUAGGCGACUCGGCCCUAACAGGUGAUGCAUUGAGGCCGGAUCUAGUAUGCAUCGUCGGGUUUGGUGCUGCUUGAGAAGGAGGGAGGCACGCAACGGCUUCGUACCUUCACGGCUAGGGUUCCGGUGACAAAGGGCAGCACGCAGACACGGUGGGGGCGUACGGGGCGGCAGGCUGGAAGGUUGGAGGCGCGGUGAACACGGCCGGCGCAGUGGAGAAGAGCGUCGCAGUGUAGAUCGGCACGGUGGGCGGAUGGCGCGGUGGAGGCGAUGCGCGGCGCGGUCGCGCCGAGAUGGAAGCUGGCCGCGCGCAAAAGGCCAGCCGCGCGCCCACGGCCGGCGACGCGCUGGAGACGGGAGGCGGCGGAGGGAGGCGCGGUGGAGGCGCGGCGGAGGGAGGCGCGGUGGAGGCGCGGCGGAGGGAGGCGCGGUGGAGGCGCGGCGGAGGGAGGCGCGGUGGAGGCGGUUCUGUCUGAAUCGGUGUGCUGCGUGUCGGAAUGGAUGAAGGCAGAAACCGUCCGCGUCCGGAAACGAAAGUGGCCGAGUGCGGUUGAAGUGGGCCGCCCGCGCUCCGGGCCUGAAAGCCCACGUACGGCGCGUCCGGACGGUUGCGCGAGCGUCGGACGCCCGCUCCACAUCAUUACCGCAUCCCGAACGACAUGUCGAGCCACAGCUUGUGGUGGUUGCUGAGGUCCGCGAUCUCCUCGUGCCGCUCCGGCACGAACCGCGCCGCGUCCGGCCCCCACGCGUCGGGGUCCUGCCCGAUGGCCUUGGCGUUCAC